GGCCGGUUUGUGCACUUGGUUAGAGUGUUGCGCAAAUAACGCCAAAGUUACGGGUUCGCUCCCCGUAAUGGCGA